rnacentral:rRNA from 1 species
GAUGAACGCUGGCGGCGUGCAUAACACAUGCAAGUCGAACGAUGAAACUCAUUAGAUUUCUGCGGAAGGAAAAUGAAUGGGGGAGUGGCGAACGGGUGAGUAACGCGUGAGUAACCUGCCGUACACAAGGGGAUAGCCUCCGGAAACGGAGAAUAAUAUCCUAUGAAACCAGACAAUCGCAUGAUAAUCUGGUCAAAAUGUUUAGUGGUGUAAGAUGGACUUGCGUCUGAUUAGCUAGUGGGGGAGAUAAAAGCUCACCAAGGCAACGAACAGUAGCCGGCUUGGAGGAGGGUCCGGCCCCAUUGGGACUGGGACCCGCCCCGGACUCCUCCGGAAGGCAGCAGUGGGGAAUUUUGCACAUUGGGGGAAGCCCUGACGCACCGUCGCCGCGUGAUUUAGAAGGCCUUCGGGUUGUAAAGAUCUUUUGUCUAGGAAGAUAAUGACAGUACUAUACGAAUAAGGUCCGGCUAAUUACGUG